UACGUAGGAGACGAGCGUUGUCCGGAGUUACUGGGCGUAAAGGGUGCGCGGGUGGCGGCGCGCGUGGGGGGUGAAAUCGCCCGGCUUAACUGGGCGGGGGCCUUCCAGACGGCGUGGCUUGAGCAGCGGAGGGGGACGUGGAAUUCCGGGUGGAGCGGUGAAAUGCGUAGAGAUCGGAAGGAACAUCAGUGGCGAAGGCGACACUCUGGUCUGACACUGACGCUGAGGUGCGAAAGCGUGGGUAGCAAACAGG
rnacentral:rRNA from 1 species